rnacentral:rRNA from 1 species
GUCUAUGGCCAUGCCACACUGAACAUGCCCAAUCCCUGAUCUGGGAAGCUAUGCAGGGUCAGCCCUGGUUAGUACUUGGAUGGGAGACCACCUAGGAAGACCAAGUGCUGUAGGUG